rnacentral:rRNA from 1 species
CCUACGGGUGGCAGCAGUGGGGAAUAUUGGUCAAUGGGCGUAAGCCUGAAGCAGCCAAGCCGCGUGAAGGAAGAAGGCUCUCUGGUUUGUAAGCUUCUUUUAUAGGGGAGUAAGGGUAUCCACGUGUGGAUAUUUGCAUGUACGCUAUCAAUAAGCAUAGGCUAAGGUCGUGCCAGCAGACGCGGUAAGAUGGUGGAUGCGAGGGUUACGCGGAUUUAUUGGGAUUAAAGGGUGCGUAGGUUGUUUUUUAAGUUAGCGGUGAAAGUAUGUGGCUCAACCAUAGAAUUGCAUUUGAUACUGGAAGACUUGAGUGUGGUUGAGGUAGGCGGAAUGCGAGGUGUAGCGGUGAAAUGCAUAGAGAUCUGGCAGAACACCGAUGGCGAAGGCAGCUUACUAAGCCAUAACUGACACUGAAGUACGAAAGCGUGGGGAGCAAACAGGAUUAGAUACCCCUGUAGUC